UGGGGAAUAUUGGACAAUGGGGGCAACCCUGAUCCAGCCAUGCCGCGUGAGUGAUGAAGGCCUUCGGGUUGUAAAGCUCUUUUGGCGGGGACGAUGAUGACGGUACCCGCAGAAUAAGCCCCGGCUAACUUCGUGCCAGCAGCCGCGGUAAGACGAAGGGGGCUAGCGUUGUUCGGAAUUACUGGGCGUAAAGCGAGUGUAGGCGGUUGCCGUAGUCAGGUGUGAAAGCCUUGAGCUCAACUCAAGAAAUGCACUUGAUACUGGGUGACUAGAGGACCGGAGAGGAUAGUGGAAUUCCCAGUGUAGUGGUGAAAUACGUAGAGAUUGGGAAGAACACCAGUGGCGAAGGCGGCUAUCUGGACGGUUACUGACGCUAAGACUCGAAAGCGUGGGGAGCAAAACAGGAUUAGAUACCCUGGUAGUCCACGCCGUAAACGAUGGGUGCUAGACGUUGGCGAGCUUGCUCGUCAGUGUCGCAGCUAACGCGUUAAGCACCCCGCCUGGGGAGUACGGCCGC
rnacentral:rRNA from 1 species